GAUGAACGCUGGCGGCGUGCCUAAUACAUGCAAGUCGAGCGAACAGAUAAGGAGCUUGCUCCUUUGAAGUUAGCGGCGGACGGGUGAGUAACACGUGGGUAACCUACCUAUAAGACUGGGAUAACUUCGGGAAACCGGAGCUAAUACCGGAUAACAUUUAGAACCGCAUGGUUCUAAAGUGAAAGAUGGUUUUGCUAUCACUUAUAGAUGGACCCGCGCCGUAUUAGCUAGUUGGUAAGGUAACGGCUUACCAAGGCGACGAUACGUAGCCGACCUGAGAGGGUGAUCGGCCACACUGGAACUGAGACACGGUCCAGACUCCUACGGGAGGCAGCAGUAGGGAAUCUUCCGCAAUGGGCGAAAGCCUGACGGAGCAACGCCGCGUGAGUGAUGAAGGGUUUCGGCUCGUAAAACUCUGUUAUUAGGGAAGAACAAAUGUGUAAGUAACUGUGCACAUCUUGACGGUACCUAAUCAGAAAGCCACGGCUAACUACGUGCCAGCAGCCGCGGUAAUACGUAGGUGGCAAGCGUUAUCCGGAAUUAUUGGGCGUAAAGCGCGCGUAGGCGGUUUCUUAAGUCUGAUGUGAAAGCCCACGGCUCAACCGUGGAGGGUCAUUGGAAACUGGGAAACUUGAGUGCAGAAGAGGAAAGUGGAAUUCCAUGUGUAGCGGUGAAAUGCGCAGAGAUAUGGAGGAACACCAGUGGCGAAGGCGACUUUCUGGUCUGUAACUGACGCUGAUGUGCGAAAGCGUGGGGAUCAAACAGGAUUAGAUACCCUGGUAGUCCACGCCGUAAACGAUGAGUGCUAAGUGUUAGGGGGUUUCCGCCCCUUAGUGCUGCAGCUAACGCAUUAAGCACUCCGCCUGGGGAGUACGACCGCAAGGUUGAAACUCAAAGGAAUUGACGGGGACCCGCACAAGCGGUGGAGCAUGUGGUUUAAUUCGAAGCAACGCGAAGAACCUUACCAAAUCUUGACAUCCUUUGAAAACUCUAGAGAUAGAGCCUUCCCCUUCGGGGGACAAAGUGACAGGUGGUGCAUGGUUGUCGUCAGCUCGUGUCGUGAGAUGUUGGGUUAAGUCCCGCAACGAGCGCAACCCUUAAGCUUAGUUGCCAUCAUUAAGUUGGGCACUCUAGGUUGACUGCCGGUGACAAACCGGAGGAAGGUGGGGAUGACGUCAAAUCAUCAUGCCCUUAUGAUUUGGGCUACACACGUGCUACAAUGGACAAUACAAAGGGCAGCUAAACCGCGAGGUCAUGCAAAUCCCAUAAAGUUGUUCUCAGUUCGGAUUGUAGUCUGCAACUCGACUACAUGAAGCUGGAAUCGCUAGUAAUCGUAGAUCAGCAUGCUACGGUGAAUACGUUCCCGGGUCU
rnacentral:rRNA from 1 species